GUCAGUGUGUCAACGUAAACGUCUUUCAUUUACAAGGGAAUAUCUCGGGAAUUAAAAAUCGUAGAAACUUCAACAAUAUACCAUUUGAAAGGACUUAUUGCUCUUGGAGAAACUCGACAGAAGCUUUACGAACGAUUCGUAGCCUGCCACUAACACGAUUUCGAAUGGUCGAUUAAAAGAACAAAUGGAUGAGAACAAGAUGGAAAGUCAAGGAUCUCUGGAGUCUUUUCCAAGGACUAAAUGAAGGAAGAAAGGAAAGAAAGGAAGGAAGAAGAAACGAAGUGCAUGGCCCGAAGGAUUAGGAAAUAAGAGAAGGAAUGGCUUCAAGUGAGAUAAACAUUUCCGUCCUGCAAUGCCUCCCGGGUUUCCCUUUGUUCGACGGAGUUUACUACUCAACAAACUUGCUUUAUUCUUUUUACGUAAUCUCGUAAGAUCGUGCCGUUUGCAAUCAUUGUUAAGAAAUGGACCAAACAGAAAGAAAUACAGUAACAGAGAAAACAACAUACUAAAAACGUUACAUUAAUAUGUGGGAAAAAAAAAAAAAAACCCUUAAAAAAAUGUAAACUCGACUG